UACGGAGGGUGCAAGCGUUAUCCGGAUUUACUGGGUUUAAAGGGUGCGCAGGCGGAUAUGUAAGUCAGUGGUGAAAUCUUUGGGCUUAACCCGAAAAUUGCCAUUGAUACUAUAUAUCUUGAAUGCUGUGGAGGUAAGCGGAAUAUGUCAUGUAGCGGUGAAAUGCUUAGAGAUGACAUAGAACACCUAUUGCGAAGGCAGCUUACUACGCAGAUAUUGACGCUCAUGCACGAAAGCGUGGGGAGCGAACAGG
rnacentral:rRNA from 1 species